rnacentral:rRNA from 1 species
GUGCACGCUGGCGGUAGGCCUAACACAUGCCAGUCGAACGGCAGCACAGUAAGAGCUUGCUCUUACGGGUGGCGAGUGGCGGACGGGUGAGGAAUACAUCGGAAUCUACUUUUUCGUGGGGGAUAACGUAGGGAAACUUACGCUAAUACCGCAUACGACCUACGGGUGAAAGCAGGGGAUCUUCGGACCUUGCGCGAUUGAAUGAGCCGAUGUCGGAUUAGCUAGUUGGCGGGGUAAAGGCCCACCAAGGCGACGAUCCGUAGCUGGUCUGAGAGGAUGAUCAGCCACACUGGAACUGAGACACGGUCCAGACUCCUACGGGAGGCAGCAGUGGGGAAUAUUGGACAAUGGGCGCAAGCCUGAUCCAGCCAUACCGCGUGGGUGAAGAAGGCCUUCGGGUUGUAAAGCCCUUUUGUUGGGAAAGAAAAGCAGCAGGUUAAUACCCCGCUGUUCUGACGGUACCCAAAGAAUAAGCACCGGCUAACUUCGUG